UAAUUUUCAAAUUAAUUAAUUUUAUGCAAAAAUUUAAAGAUAUUUUCUUUUCUUUUAUAAAAAUAUUGCUAAAUUAAAAAUUAAUUAAAAAAAAAAUUUUAAUUGAAAUGAAAAAAAAUGUUUUAUUUUUCAAAUUUAUUAGAAAACCAAAUUUCAAAAAAAUACUUUUUUAAUAAAAAAUAAUCUACAAAUGUCUCCAAAUUUUGCGCAUAUCCUUGGCCUCCAAACAUUUUCACUUCAAAAAGUUUCAACAAACUGAAAGUUUUGCUAACCAAAAUACCAGGCUAAUAUCAUCUAAAAACAUAUCUUGACAAUAAUUUUAAGGUUAAAGACAAACAAAAACAAAAAUAUGAUAAAUUUAAAAUAACGGUUGAAUUUGUGUGCAUGAUUGUUGGAUGUGCUGAGAAUGUGUGCGUUUGUCGUGAUUACAAGUACAUACAUGCUUACAUACAUAGCAUAGUACUUACAUACAUAGAAACAAGAGAAAAUUCAUAAAUAAAUAGGGCGUAUGUAGGCGUGUAACGGUGGAUUGUCGCAGUUGCGCAAAGUGACGGCAAACUUUUUUGUAUUUUGUAAAGUUUAACAAGAACAAAAAAAAUUAAUAAAAGCAAAAAAAUAUUAUUCCUUAAACAUUUACUUAAAAAUUUAACUGUAAUAUAUGUAUGUAUUGACUUUUUCAAACUUUUUCUAAACAUUUUUUUCUGAAUUUUCGGUCUAUUGGUUUUUAUUACUUACGAAUAAUGCAUUUUUUGUGUAUGAAUAUGAAAAUUAAUAUAUAAUGUUAUACAUACAACUACAUAUAUACAUACAUACAUACACAUGCGUAACGCUGUUUUUGAAAUUUAAUGAUGUAAACUUUUUUAUAAAAAUAUUUAUGUAUUAUACAAUGUAUUAUUGAAAAGACAAUAUUUUGUUUUUAGCCUUUAAGCUGACAAUAAUGUUGACACAGGACAAUAAUAACGGAGAAUAGUUGCAAUGCAAAUAAAAAGCAAAAGCAAAAUCGCAAAUUUAUUGCUAAAGCCGAAUUGUAAAGAGAAAUUGUUCAAUUAAAAUAUAGUUAUAUAAAGUAAAUAAUGUUAAUGUGAGACAAUAAUAAGCAAACGCUAUUUGUAAAGUGCAAAUGUAAUAUUUGAAAUUUACGCUAAUCAAUGUACUUCAAAUUUAUAUAUACAUACAUACAUAUGUAAGUACAUAUCUGAAACGUACAGACAAACAUACAUGAAUUAAAGAAAGAAUCUCAAAAAAAACAUACAUAUGUAUGUGUGCGCGUACAUAGGUUUCUAAAACUUAUGCUGUGCUGCUUGCAUGAAUUCAUGUCAAUUUUUUUUAAUUUUUUUGAUCAAAAAUAGAUUGCUGCACAACACACAUACAUAUGCCACGCAUUAAUUGCUGGUGGCAAGCUGAAAUUUUUCAACGUUUACCCAGGUGCAUAAAAUAAAAAAUACCUUCAUACAUACAAACAUAUCUAUAUCAAUCCGUAUGUAUGUGCUGUUUAAAAUUUACAAUAUAUUAAUAUUAAAAAUAUUAUUAUUGUAAUAUUUUAAUAAUAUUUUCUGUUUGAAAAAUGUAUCUGUUUACAGUUUUGCAAAAACACUAUAUAUAUUAAACUAAUUAGCAUAAUUUUUACUAUAAAUUUUGUGUUCUUAAAAUUUUGAAUAACGUUUUUUAUUCUAAUAAAAUACUAAAUCUUAAACCUUUUGAGUUAUACUUUGUUUUAUGCUUUAUGUGAGUCACGUGAGUCAAAAAAAAAUUCUAAAUUUUUUUUUUCAAAUCAAUAAAUUUUUAUUUUUAUUUUUUAAAUAUUAAUAACUUAUUUUCUUUUUACGGUUUUAGUGUUAUUUUUCUUUUUUUACUAAUGGACCAGUGUAGAUGGUUUUUGUAAGCAAAAAAAUUAUAGUAGGGUGAAAUUAAUUAACCCUUAAAAUUUCAUCCUCGUCCCUCCCCUUUCUCUUCCGCACGUCAGAUCGCCCGUAAAUUACUUUUAUGCUCCUGCAACAUGUCAAAAAACCGCUAUUGAAAAAAGUAUCUAUUUUUGGUUCACCCGUUAUACUUGUCUAGUUUUCCAUAAUCAGAGCACAAAACGGGCCUAAAGGACUAAUAUUUUCGGUAAGGAUUAAUUUUUUUAAACACCGCCAUUUUGUCAAUUCUUGAUAUAAUUUUCGUCAGUAAGUUUAUAUCUCCUGGCAGAAAAUUUUUAUACCUUGCAAUAUGUUGCUGCAGAGUAUAAUAGUUUUGUUCACUUAACCGUUAUAUAAGUCAUAUAUAAAUCAUCAGGAUAGGAUGACGAGACGAGUUGAAAUCCGGCUCACUGUCUGUCUGUACGUCUGUCCGUCCGUCCGUGCGAGAUUUAAAGUUACAACAACUAAAUUCGUCUAGCGCAAAUGUUAAGUAUAAGAACUCUUACUGACAAUGUGAAAAUGGAUAAAAUCGGAUGGUCACCACCUCACCACCCAUAUAACGGUACUAUUAAAAACUAUUAAAAGUGCGAUAAAUCAGUAACUAAAUACGCCAGAGACUUUAAACUUUACACACGAGUUGGUAUGAGGAGGCUUUUAAGGAUGUUAAGUGAAGUGACAUAUCUCGCUCAACCGAUUUCAAUAAAAUUCGGUAUGUGGCAUUCCACCAAUAUUUUUAGGUUACAGUGCAAUAAUGGGCGGACUACGUUUACUUCCUUUAUAAUAGAGUAUCAAAUUCGUUAUGGCUACGGGAUCAAAACCCAAAAUGUAUCAAAAUGACUUACGGAUUAUUAAUGUAAAUUCAAUUCUGGAACUCAUUACUUACUCAUAACAACAUAUACGGAUUCAAAAAAAAAUCACAAAAAACAGGUGAUUUUUCUGACUUUCAACUGGUUAUAACCCCUUAUAAAAUUAAAAUUGCUGCGUUGGAGGUAUCGAGCGAGGGUUUAUUACUUUUGAUAUUUUUUUAAGUAUAUAUAAAAAUUUUUAAUUGAUCUAAAUUGUUAAUAUCGUCAUUCAUCUCAAAAAAUGUCAUGAGUGAGCUCACUUAGAAUCCGCGAUAUUUAGGCAACGCUUCUCUUGAAAUUACAGCAAAUUUUACAAUAAUUCAGAUCUCAUUUCACUAUCUUCGGGAUGAACAUAUACAAAAACUGGCUUCGAUUCGUCCAAACAUAGUUCAAUCGAACAAACGACUAGCAUAAAACGAUUUGCUAUUACUUUAGCUGCAUACACUUUUUUUCAUAAUACUAUUGUGGGCAUAAAAUAGUAAGACUUUUAAUUUAAAUUUCGCGCGAAAACCCAUUCGUCGUAAUAUUUUUUUCUAGGUUGGUAUGACUGUCAGUGAUAGCUAAGCCAAAUGUCACAUCAAAAUAAUUAUUAGUGUUUAGUAUACGCUUGUCUUUCUGAAGUACAUAAAGUGUAUUCGGCAAUUUUUACGAUGAGUGAAAUUAUUCAACAAAGAAGUUCCAUUAAAUUUUGUGUGCGAAAUCAAAUUUUCUGAUGCCGAAACGUUCGGAAGGUCGGAAAAGGUCUUCGGUGAUAAUUGUUUGUCGCGAGCAAGUCUUUUUGUUUGGUAGAAAUUUUUCAAAGAAGGUUGAGAACGCGUUUACGACGAACCGACGAAUCGAGGACGGGCAUCAAGAGCAACUGAUGAUCAACAUGUCAAUAAAAUAAACGAAUAGAUGCUUGAGAAACGAAUCAGAGUUCUUACUGGCAUCGUUGGAAUAUCGGAAGGGUUAGUGAAACCCAUUUUGAAAGACCAUUUGGGCCUAAGAAAAGUGAAAGUACGAUUGAUUCCAAAAUCAAACAGUUUUUUCGAGAAACAGCGUCGCGUUAACGUCUAUGAAACAAAUCUUUCCGACUACCAGAAUGCCAUGAAACAUAUUAUUCCAGGUGAUGAGCCUUGGAUCUAUGUUUAAGAACCGGAAACAGACAAUCAUUCGGCCGAAUAUCGCGGCAAAGGUGAGCCAAAGCCGAAAAAACCACGUUAAAGCAGGUCAAAAUUCAACGGUGUGGGUACAGUUUUCUUCGGUAAUCGAGGUGUAGUGCAAUUCGAAUUCCUUCGACCGGCCAAACUGUCAACAAAGAAUACAGUUACGCGUCUUUUGCGCGAAGCUAUUCGUAAAAAGAGGCUGGAGUUACGGGCCGACAACUCUUGGUUUUUGCAUCAUGAUUAUGCACCUUCGCAUACUGCAGUGUGUCUUCGUGAGAUUUUCGCCAACUGUUCGACUGUUUUAGCUCCAUGUGACUUUAGGUUAUUCAGCAAACUCAAACGAUCGCUACGGGGAAACCGUUUUGAGUCAACUGAAGACAUUAACCGUGAAUAGCUAUAGUAUGCGCAUUAAAGGAUAUUCCAGAAAUUUACCUUAACAACUUUUUCGAGGAUUGAACCAAAUUGAACCAAGAUUGUAUUGUGACCAAGGCGGAUUACUUUGAGGGGUACGACAAAGAUUUUGAAGAAUAAAUUAUGAAUUUUAAAAUUAUGAACAAAGUCUUACUAUUUUUUGCUCAUAGUAUGUAGUAUAUGGUAAGAACUAAAAAAACUUGUUAAUCUUUAACUUGUCUAGCCGUUCGUGGAGUGUCAAAUGUCUACCUAUGUUUCCUCGUGUAUAUUAGAAGUUCGCUUCAGAGGCACACUCAGCUAAAAUCUAGAUCUGCUCUCUAGAAAACAUACAAAUAUUUUUUCAUAUACCUGAAACUGUGCCGCUUAAUAUACUCUUCCUUUAUUUAAUUAGAAUAGUGAAAUUGUAAUUGUUAAUAUUUUCAGUGUUUUUGUUGAUCUUAUUUAUAAUAUUGUUUUUGUAAUUGUUACUAUUGUUGUCAUGAUUCUUUUAACUAUUAUUAUUACUGUUCAUCAACAUCAUUAAACGAGUUUGUAGUGUUUUAUUCAAACAAAUUUUUAACACAAUGCAUCUAGAUAUUAUCAAUUGAUAUCUAUAUUUUCUUCUUCGCGAGAAUUGAAACUCAUACAUAUGUAUGUACACUAGACAAUAAAAAUGAAGGCAACAAAUUGUAAUACAUUUCUUUUUGACAAUAAAACGUACUAAUAGCUGUAAUUGUAACAUAACUAAUUUAAAUUAAGUAAAAGAUAUUUGAAUUGCAAAUAAAUAAAUUUAGCAUAAGCAAAUGGACUUAAAUAAGUAGUAGAAAUAUAGGUUAGGUUAAUAAAUGCCCUAGCAGUACGAAGCACAACUAUUUUAAAAUAAGUGUUAGCCGUAAGUAAUAGUAAAUAAUAUGUGUAGGCAUAUGAGAGACAAUACAAAAAUUACUUACAAACAUAUGUAGGUAUGUGGUCAACCAUUUUUAAUGAAAUAAAGCAAGUUACAUAAAUACAGAAAAUAAAUUGAGCGCAGCAAAUAGUUUGAAAUAGUUUCAAAUAUACAUUUAGUACCUGUACAUAUUUGUUUUUGCAGCGCCAUAACUGAAAUAAUUUAUUUUUGUAAUAAACUUAUAAGCCGCUUAUAAAUAGUCCUAAUAAUUACACAUUUUUAAAAUGCUAUUUAGGGUGCUUUUGAAGAAAAAAAUGUUUACUGGAAUGUAUUUUUAAAAUUUAGACUUUUUCCAGAUUUUUUGAAACAAUUCAUUUUAUUUCCUAAGUUUAUUACAUGCAACUAUUGAACUAUUAUAAACAAACGAUAAAAAUGUUUUAGAACAAAAUUGUAAAGAUAUUCUCAUACAAAGUUUUUAGCACCUAAAAACCAUAAACACCUAAAUCUAACUAUUUUAAUUUUCUAAUUAUGUUUUGUUCAUUGAUAUCCACGCUUUUUUCUGUGCAGCAGCUCAGCUAUGUAUGUAUAUUCCUAUUUACUCUUUUUUUCUUCUUCUUAGUUACUAUGCUUGAUGAGCAUAAAGUGGCCGCAAAAUGUCACCAUUUAUUAAAAUUUUUCGAUAACGUCAUUUCGUUGUAAGUUUUCCUCAUUCACUCAAGUUAUUUUGCAAGCCUGCGUUCUCUGGUGUGCUUAGGCCUCCAGCGUUCCUGCUGCCUUGUGGGUUCCACGCUAGUGUUUUUCUGAAGCUCUCAUCUGGCUGCAAGCUCAAUCAUAUCUGAUUUACGCCUGCAUAUAUUCUUUUCAUUUGCAAAGCUUGAAAUUGUGAUUUAUUUAUGCCUUAUUUUGGUUUUAUACUUCUUAUGUUCUAACUGAAGCUUCGAAGCGUAAUUUCACGGUAGAUAGUUUUUAUAAGGUUAUCCAUUUUAAGGUUCCCUACUUUUUCAAAAAAAAAAAACAAAAAAAAAACACAGAAACUUCAAAUUUAAUGUGAAAUAUUUAUUAUCAAUCGAAAGAACACUCUUUGGCAUUUAUUGUUUGAAGAUUACCGCUUUCAAAUGUUGGCCGCGGCUACGUCUCAGAUUGUCCAUCUGUUGAGUCCAAUUUUCGAUGACUCGUUCGAGCAUUUCGACUGGUAGCUGGCGAAUGACACGCGUGAUGUUUCGCUCCGAGCCCAGAAUCGAAGAGAGGUUGUCCGCAUAGACCUUAGACAUUCCCAUAUACAUGUCCCCACAGGAAAAGCUUAACGCUGUGGCCAAUCGAUCGACCCAAAAAUGUAACUUCGUUGUGUAUCAAAAUAUUUCAUGGUCAAUAGUUUUUUCUAACAUUUAACGCUCAAGAAUCAAUGAGACUUAAAACUGAACUACAUAUAUUUAAAGUUGCUGAAGCGAUAAUACGUUCACCAGCACGCUGGUUCAAGUUCUAAAAACCGGAAGAGAAUGCUCAUUGGAAAUAAAUGUUGCGACGGAAAAGAGCUAAGGUAAAGCAGAAACUGAGGCCUUUUCCAAAAUAUACUUGUAAGACAAAACGUACUACAAAUAUGAUACCGAAAAAGUCGGAGAGAUCAUUAUGAACGGUAUAUCGCCCUCGACAGCAACUAUUUGGAUUAAAUACCAUUAUUUUUUUUAAACGAAUCCAACUUUUCCGACCACCUGAUGUAUGUAUUUUGUGAAGUUCGUUAAUUUUUGUAUACUUUUCAUAUGAAGUUUUUAUUUUAAUUUUUUUUUUAUAGUUCUACAUAUUAUGUUUACACCAAGUGUAAAGUAACUUUAGGGCUUAUAUCCGCUUAAGAAAAUUAAAAAAUCGACUUGUUUUUGUGUAAGUAUCGAAUUCACAUACAUAGAUACAUACAUACUUUGGUCCGUUUGUUAAAAUAGAUGCGAGUAUUUACAGUUGGCUUGAGUUUUUCAACACGAUAACGACCCCAAGCACUGCUCACGAGUCGUUAAGUAGCCAAAAUACAUAUUAAGAUUCUGGAUUGGCUAGCUCAAAGUCCGGACCUAAACUCCAUAGAAAAAUCUCUGGGUGUUUAUAAAAAGAGCCGUAGCUGCACGAAAACCUCAUAACAAAUAUUCUUUAAGGAAAAUAGUACAGGCAGAGUGGAACAAAGUAAGUCCCACCCAAUGUGUUACUUUAGUCCAAACAAUGCUGAAGCGUUGCACUGAAGUGCUACGCAAUAAAAGAUAUCCAACUAAAUAUUAGUUUUUUAUUAAAGAAGAAUUUCAAAAAAUAAGUAAAUUUUUCUGCGAUGCCUUGUUUAUAUGACCAAAUAGUUGCUUGGAAGAAACUUUCAUACUAUAAGUGGCGUGACUUAAUUAUAUGAGCACAAGUGUACAGGCAUAUGGUAUUUGAAAAUAUGCUCCGAAAAUUUGAAGUCGAUCCUGCAAUACGCAUGAAAAUUUCACACGAUCCGCUUAGAUGUACAGUUUGUUCAAAAAUAUAUAAUAUGAUAAAAAACAGUUUUUGGGAAACCGCCAUUCCGUCAAAAAUCAUAAUUUUGAGCAGUCCUUCGAACAUUAGGUGCAUUCUUCUUUUGUAAUGAUCAUCUUUUUGGUUCAGGAACUUUAGUUAAUUUUAACUAUAGAGAAAUCUUGUUGUCGUUGCAACACCAGAAAACAUUUCUGGAGUAAUUUCGAGGCAUGUGAGUUCCUUAAUACAAAAAAAAAAACAUACGAGUUGCAGGAAUAUAAAAUGUUUUUUUUUUGAACUUUCUUUUCUUACUUCUUUUUAUUUAUUAUUAUUUUGGUUAAAUGGUUAUACACUGCUGGUCAUUAGGUUAGACGCACGUUUACUUGCAUUACAAUUGUUUAAAUAUUUAUUAUUUUAAUGGUGAAUGACAAAAAAGUUGGUAUGCAAAAACAUGGGUACUUCAUGACACUUUCAAUGUAAUAUUCAAAUGAUUAUUCAAACUUAACAAAAUUGUGUGUUUCAAACAUUUUCUUAAAGCUACUUAAAAAACGGUGCCUUUUUCUUGGUCAUUAGAAUAGACGCACUUAGGAUAUUAAAUUUUUUAUAAGAAAAGUUUUUUUUUUUACUUAAAUUUUUAGUUCGUGUUAAUAUUUGAUUUAUUAGAAAUAAAAAAAUAAUUUCAGUAAUGAGUACUUCCUCCUUUGUUAGUAAUAACUUCAAAUGUCUGGUCCUUCAUAGAAUGAUACAGGGAAUCUAUGUAGGUCAAGGAAAUCUCGCUCCAAGCACGUUUUAUAGCUGCAGUUAAUGCUUCCUUACCUUCGUAUUGCUUUCCUUUUUCGUAUACCUUCCGUGUUAGCCAGCCCCAAACAUUUUCAAUUACUUUAGGAUCUGAAGAAUUUGGUGGCCAGGUCAUGACAUUAACGUUUUGACUCGAAAUAAACGACUUUACUACUCGAGCGUUAUGAAUAGGAGCACAGUCUUGUUGAAAAAUCCAAGGAAUUGGGCCAAAGAGAUCGCUUAAUUUUGGCAAUACGGACUCCAACGAUGUUUUGAAGCGAUCGCCGUUCAUCUUCUGAUUGCUAAAAAUCAAGUCAGUUGUUCCAUAAAACGUGAUGGCACCCACACCAUGACUCCACCUGCUCGGCUGUGGUGACAUCUUAAAUAUAUGUAGGACAUCUUUCCACAAAUCGUGAUAAUAGUAUCGAAAGCCAUCAGGGCCAUCUAAAUUAAAACGUUUUUCCUCAGUAAAUACAACUGAACGCCAAUCAUUAAGUCAAGUGCCAGAUUGAACAGUCCAUGUCAUGUAUUCUUUCGCGAAUCGAAGACGUUUUUCUUUGCGUAGUUCAUUUAGGGGGCGAGGUUUUUCUUGAUUUUUAAACGCUUUAGGUAUUCUGCAUUUCUGAUUGUAUGCUGAGCAGUUGAAAGGCUUGCUUUUACUUUGGCUAUUUCCGUGUUUUUCAUAUGCCUCUGGAUCCUUUAAAUAUAUAUCAACGGUUCUGGAGGUACGUUUUAUCUAUUCGGCAAUAUUUCGAUUGGAUAGUCCUUAGGAGUAAAAAAAAGUGUACUUUUUCACGUUCCAAUAAGCUCAGGAUACCAGCUUUUCCCAUUUUUCCUUUAAAUGUAGCUCGAAAACAAUUUAUUUGCUUAUUUUUAGUACUUUCUCAAUAGAAAAAACUGCAGGUCUUUACGCAAGACGAUGAAAUGUUAUGUGCGUCUAUUUCAAUGACCAACCGAAAACGCACGUGAUUGCCAUAGACAUUUCUGGAAUCUUCGAAUGUACAGUUGUUUUUGCGCAAAUCAACCAACUAUGAGCAAAUAUAUUUCGGACAAGAUUCGAACUUUGAAAAGAAAAGCAUUUUGGACAAUAAGAACAAGCAUGAUUAUAAAUAUAACAAUUUAUUAAAAAAAAAAAACGUUGAUGCGUUUAACCUAAGACCAGCAGUGUAUAUUGGUUGUAUCGCACAGUGGAAGCUGAAAAUUCCAUGCCACAUACUACAUACAUAUGUAUAUGUAAUAUGUUUUAAUGAAUCGUAAGCAACAAAUAAACUCAAUUUCUAUCUUUUUGUGAUACGUUGUUUUGCAUUUCAGUUGAUGAUAUACAUACAAGUACAUACUUUUUAAAGAAUAUUUAAAAAAAAUUGAUUUUCAUAAAAACCAUAGCUUAUUUAGAUACUACGCCUACAAUAGAAACGCACAAAUUUGUAAUGACACGCCAUUACAAUGAGCAAGAAGCUACAAAAAUAAAGUUUAAAACAAGAAAAGUUUAAAAAAUUAGAAGAAAAUAGUAAAAUAAAGCAUAAAUAGUGGAAGAAGACGCACACAACGAGCAAAUCUAACUGCAAUUACAAACACAUAGACAUAUGUACAUAUAUUUAACACACAUACAAAUCCCUAUACAUAUAUGUACAUACAUACAUGUAUAUAUAUGCAUACACCUACAAAUAUACAUAUGUAUAUACCUACAUUUACACUUGUUGUUGAGAAUAUGCCAACGAUCCGACACUUUCCGUUUUGUAAAAUAGAAAAAUUACUCAAUUGGGUAAUCCAACACACACAUACAUACAUAUAUGCAUAGAAACACAGCAAAUAUACAUACAUAUGUAAAUAUAUAUAUGCAUAUGUUUGUGCUACUUAGCAUUAAAUUGUAGUUGUAAGUAAAUGAUGAUGAUAUUUCCAUAUGUUUAGAAGGAUUUUUAGAUAGCUCUAUUGUUCUCAUUAAAACUCACACACUGUGAAUAUUUGCUAACUAAUUAAAUUCAAUGAAAAAAAUCGCUACAAAUAUGCAUACAUACAUACAUACAUAGGUACAUACAUUUAUUAAGCACUAAAACACGAACUCCAAUUACCUAAAAUAGUUAAAGCAAGGCGAUUAUGAAACUAUUGUAACUUCAUUCUGAAAAAACAAAAAUCGAAUUACAAAAAAAAAAAAAAAAAUAAAAAUAAAAAAAUCAAAUUAAAUAAAUUUAUGUAAAUUGCAUGAACUUUUUCACUCUUCUAAUAAAAUAUUAACUACAUACAUAUUUACAUACUUACAUACAUACAUACAUACAUAUGUACAUGCAUACACACAUACAUACAUGUGCACAUGCAUACAAAACUGAGUAAUCAUAAAGUAAAAACAUAAAAAUAAAUUAACGACACAAACACACACACAACACAUAUUUUGCGCAAAGAAUUACAAUACAAAUUGCAGGCAUUGCAAUUAAAAAACAAAAGCUAAAAUUUCAUAAAAAAUUUAGGAUUUGUAAAGACUAGCUUAGUGCAGCGCAGUAAAAAAUAAAUAAAUUUUAGCGAAAUGAAAGUGCGAAUUUUUGAAAUUCAAACACUAAAGUGACAACUGUAAUUAAAAAAAAAAUACAAAACUUAAAAAAUAAUAACAACAACAAAAAUUCAAACACAUUUGGUAAUAGAUUGGCAAUGCGUGCAGUUAGCCGGCAGCAUUUUGUGGCAAAAGAAAUAAAAUUGUUUAAAAAUACACACACACAUAUCUGCAUACAUAUGUAUUGUAUACACACACAUACAACGGUACUUUGAGUACAAAAAAAAACUUUGUCAUUUAAAGCAUUUUAAAAUUUAUAGACAAUAAAAGGUAAGCAUACAAAUUCAUAGUACACACACACACACACACAGACACACUCACAUGUAGACACACACAAACUUGCAUACAAUAAAAUUGCUGUCAAAAAAGUGACAAUAAAAAAAAAUUGACAAUAAAAAAAAUAAAAAAAAUUUACAAUAAAUAAAAAUAUACAAUAAAAAAUAGACAACAAAAAAAAAUGACAACAAAAAAAAUUGACAAUAAAAAAAAUUGACAAUAUUGCCAAUAUUAAAAAAAAUUGACAAUAAAAAAUGUUGACAAUAAAAAAUGUUGACAAUAAAAAAUGUUGACAAUAAAAAAAGUUGACAAAAAUAAAAAUUGACAAUAAAAAAUGUACGAAAAUCUUUGGCACCCAAAAUUUGCUGUUUAAGUGCGAGAAUUCAAAAAGCAAUUAAUUGUAUUCAAAAUUUACUGGCGUAAACAGAUUAUACAUUUCUAAAAUAAGCAAAAUGAAACACUAAAAUUACUUUCGAACAAUUGCAAGUGUAUGCAAAUAGUAAGGAAGUGAAGAAGUACAUGUUGAGAAAAAUUUAAAUUUAACUACUAACAAUAACAAUAACAAUAAAAUGGUUAUAAACACAUUACAUCUGUCUUAUAUUGAAUGUAAUACGAAAAUUAUUGAACAAUAAUAAAUGAAUAAUAAAAUAAAUUGUUUUCACCUUA